CAGGUGGUCAGGUAGAGAAUACCAAGGCGCUUGAGAGAACUCGGGUGAAGGAACUAGGCAAAAUGGUGCCGUAACUUCGGGAGAAGGCACGCUGACAUGUAGGUGAAGUGAUUUACUCAUGGAGCUGAAGUCAGUCGAAGAUACCAGCUGGCUGCAACUGUUUAUUAAAAACACAGCACUGUGCAAACACGAAAGUGGACGUAUACGGUGUGACGCCUGCCCGGUGCCGGAAGGUUAAUUGAUGGGGUCAGCGCAAGCGAAGCUCCUGAUCGAAGCCCCGGUAAACGGCGGCCGUAACUAUAACGGUCCUAAGGUAGCGAAAUUCCUUGUCGGGUAAGUUCCGACCUGCACGAAUGGCGUAAUGAUGGCCAGGCUGUCUCCACCCGAGACUCAGUGAAAUUGAACUCGCUGUGAAGAUGCAGUGUACCCGCGGCAAGACGGAAAGACCCCGUGAACCUUUACUAUAGCUUGACACUGAACAUUGAGCCUUGAUGUGUAGGAUAGGUGGGAGGCUUUGAAGUGUGGACGCCAGUCUGCAUGGAGCCGACCUUGAAAUACCACCCUUUAAUGUUUGAUGUUCUAACGUGGACCCGUGAUCCGGGUUGCGGACAGUGUCUGGUGGGUAGUUUGACUGGGGCGGUCUCCUCCUAAAGAGUAACGGAGGAGCACGAAGGUUGGCUAAUCCUGGUCGGACAUCAGGAGGUUAGUGCAAUGGCAUAAGCCAGCUUGACUGCGAGCGUGACGGCGCGAGCAGGUGCGAAAGCAGGUCAUAGUGAUCCGGUGGUUCUGAAUGGAAGGGCCAUCGCUCAACGGAUAAAAGGUACUCCGGGGAUAACAGGCUGAUACCGCCCAAGAGUUCAUAUCGACGGCGGUGUUUGGCACCUCGAUGUCGGCUCAUCACAUCCUGGGGCUGAAGUAGGUCCCAAGGGUAUGGCUGUUCGCCAUUUAAAGUGGUACGCGAGCUGGGUUUAGAACGUCGUGAGACAGUUCGGUCCCUAUCUGCCGUGGGCGCUGGAGAACUGAGGGGGGCUGCUCCUAGUACGAGAGGACCGGAGUGGACGCAUCACUGGUGUUCGGGUUGUCAUGCCAAUGGCACUGCCCGGUAGCUAAAUGCGGAAGAGAUAAGUGCUGAAAGCAUCUAAGCACGAAACUUGCCCCGAGAUGAGUUCUCCCUGAGACUUUAGGUCUCCUGAAGGAACGUUGAAGACGACGACGUUGA
rnacentral:rRNA from 1 species